GACGAACGCUGGCGGCGUGCUUAACACAUGCAAGUCGAACGGAAAGGCCCUGCUUUUGUGGGGUGCUCGAGUGGCGAACGGGUGAGUAACACGUGAGUAACCUGCCCUUGACUUUGGGAUAACUUCAGGAAACUGGGGCUAAUACCGGAUAGGAGCUCCUGCUGCAUGGUGGGGGUUGGAAAGUUUCGGCGGUUGGGGAUGGACUCGCGGCUUAUCAGCUUGUUGGUGGGGUAGUGGCUUACCAAGGCUUUGACGGGUAGCCGGCCUGAGAGGGUGACCGGCCAAAUUGGGAUUGGGGAGGCGCCCAGAUCCCAACGGGAGGAAGGGGGGGGGAAUUUGGCCAAAGGGGCGGAGGCCGUAAGGACAAACGCCGGGUGGGGAAUGCCGGCCUUGGGGUUAGAAACCUUUUGCCCCUGUGACGAAGCGUGGUGGCGGGAAAUGGGGAAAGAAACACGGGCAACUUACGG
rnacentral:rRNA from 1 species